rnacentral:tRNA from 1 species
GGGGGUAUAGCUCAGUUGGAUAGAGCAACGGCCUUCUAAGCCGUGGGUCGGGGGUUCGAAUCCUCCUACCCCCGCCA